UAGAGAAUUAUCUACUAAAAGCGUUUAGCAUGGUGAGAGAUAACACUAAUGUCAUGGUGAGAGAUAACACUAAUGUCAUGGUGAGAGAUAACACUAAUGUCAUGGUGACAGAAGAUCUCAGUAAUAUCAUGGUGAUAGAAGAUAACACUAAUGUCAUGGUGAUAGAAGAUAACACUAAUGUCAUGGUGAUAGAAGAUAACACUAAUGUCAUGGUGAAGAUCUCACUAAUGUCAUGGUGACAGAAGAUCUCAGUAAUAUCAUGGUGAUAGAAGAUCUCACUAAUGUCACGGUGACAGAAGAUGACACUAAUGUCAUGGUGAGAGAUAACACUAAUGUCAUGGUGAGAGAUAAUACUAAUGUCAUGGUGACAGAAGAUCUCAGUAAUAUCAUGGUGAUAGAAGAUAACACUAAUGUCAUGGUGAUAGAAGAUAACACUAAUGUCAUGGUGAUAGAAGAUAACACUAAUGUCAUGGUGAUAGAAGAUGACACUAAUGUCAUGGUGAUAGAAGAUCUCACUAAUGUCAUGGUGACAGAACAUCUCACUAAUGUCAUGGUGACAGAACAUCUCACUAAUGUCACGGUGACAGAAGAUCUCAGUAAUGUCACGGUGACAGAAGAUCUCAGUAAUGUCACGGUGACAGAAGAUCUCAGUAAUGUCACGGUGACAGAAGAUCUCAGUAAUGUCACGGUGACAGAAGAUCUCAGUAAUGUCACGGUGACAGAAGAUCUCAGUAAUGUCACGGUGACAGAAGAUCUCAGUAAUGUCACGGUGACAGAAGAUCUCAGUAAUGUCACGGUGACAGAAGAUCUCAGUAAUGUCACGGUGACAGAAGAUCUCAGUAAUGUCACGGUGACAGAAGAUCUCAGUAAUGUCACGGUGACAGAAGAUCUCAGUAAUGUCACGGUGACCGAAGAUCUCACUAAUGUCACGGUGACCGAAGAUGACACUAAUGUCACGGUGACCGAAGAUGACACUAAUGUCACGGUGACCGAAGAUGACACUAAUGUCACGGUGACAGAAGAUGACACUAAUGUCACGGUGACAGAAGAUGACACUAAUGUCACGGUGACAGAAGAUGACACUAAUGUCACGGUGACAGAAGAUGACACUAAUGUCACGGUGACAGAAGAUGACACUAAUGUCACGGUGACAGAAGAUGACACUAAUGUCACGGUGACAGAAGAUGACACUAAUGUCACGGUGACAGAAGAUGACACUAAUGUCACGGUGACAGAAGAUGACACUAAUGUCACGGUGACAGAAGAUGACACUAAUGUCACGGUGACAGAAGAUGACACGAAUGCCACGGUGACAGAAGAUGACACGAAUGCCACGGUGACAGAAGAUGACACGAAUGUCACGGUGACAGAAGAUCUCACUAAUCAUAUCAUGAUGGAUUUGUGCUUGAUGCUGAUGAUGUUUGAGACCAAAGUACUGGUGAUGAAACACACACUGUACCUGUACACACGAGUGGUUUAUACUGUACAGGUAAAAAAGGUCAUGUAAAUACAUCUGAUCUUUAUUUUAACAUCAUGGUAGUUUUACUGACUUACUGAAUAAUGGCAGAUAAACCAGUGGACACAUGAAACUGGAGUGAUUGACAUUUUACUAAGUGACUUGAACUUGCCAACAUUAUAUAAAUAAAAAAAAGCCUUUAUUUGUUGCAUGUACAUUAUAGCAGAGUUUAAAUGUUCUUUACAUUAGUUAUGAGGUCCGAGCACAGACAUGGUGCUUCUGGAGCUUGGUGGCAUUGAGGGCCUUGCUCAAGGCCCCGACACUGGCAUCACAGCCAUGCUGGUGCUCGAACCCUUGGCAUUGUGAUGGUUAGUGCUGACCCGUAAGCACCGAGCUGCUCGUUAACUCACCCCCUGAAAUCCCUGAGCCUUCCUUCACCUCCAUGUUCUCCUUAUAGACAGAUGUGCUGAUGCAGAAACGUGUUAAUGCAUUAAUAUAAAAUCAGUCAGCUACAGUUAGGCACGUGUGUAUUACUAACAUGACACAAGCUGACAUCAGGUACAUAGACUUGUUUAAAAAAUUACAUUUUUUUUUUAUUUGCAGCUGAAAAUGUUUUUACAAAUUAUUAGGACAUUUUAAAAGGGAGGAAUAAAUAUUAAAUAAGGACACAACAAUAUUAAAUCUACAAAUACUUUAAAUGAUGAGUCUCUAAUGGGGGGUUACGUAGUUGGCACUAUGGUUUAUUUCUCUGCAGGUUCAGCGUCUGUCCACUUUGUUUAUGUUCCUCUAACUCUGUAAUCAGUUUGUUGUUAAUAGUCCUGAAGCCUUUUUAGGCAGCAUUUCUCUUUCUACACUGUCAUUUCCUGUGUCUGUGUGUUUCUCCUGCACUCCCCCUUUACCAUAUAAGGUCAUGAGUGUAGAGGAGUGUGCACGCCCCCUUUACCAUAUAAGGUCAUGAGUGUAGAGUAGCGUUCACGCUGCAUUCCUCACAGCUAAACACCACACUACCUACAGGCACUGUGUACACACACACACACACACACACACACACACACACACAUCAGCACUAAUAUUAAAGUAAUAUAAAAUAUUAAAGUAAUAUUAAUAUUAAAAUAAACAACAUGGAUAAGAUUUGCCUUUUUUUAAAUAUUUUUUUAUUACAUUUGUCUAAGGACAAAAAGCUCAGGGUCUUUUGGUUAUAGGGAUAAUGAACAAUGGAGUGGUGACAUGGCCUUAGACAGUUGUUGAUUUUUCUUUAACCACAUACACCUUAUUUGUCUUAUUUAUUUUGUAUGACAGCGGUACCAACACUUAGGUUAUAAAAUUAACUUGUCAGACUUUUUAUCCCUUUAUAGAUACCUUUUUAAUGUGUGUGAAUUAAGUUCUUACUUACUUUAUACCAGAUAUAAUGCAGUCAUUCCCUCACCAGCCUCUCUUUAAUCACCUUACUGUUACAGAAAGAAACACAAGUGAACAAUCCUGACACUGGACUUUAUUAAUGAUCAGGUUAAGUGUAGCAUCGUCUGUACAGGUCUCUGUAAGUGAUGUGUGUGUGUGCAUUUAAAUAACUGAUUUGCAGCUUGACUAAUUCCUAGUUAGACUAAUUCAGCUUGAUUCUGUUUCAGUAAAGUCAUCUCCAAACCCUUUAAUCAGUGUGUUUGCUUUGUAUAAUCCCUGUUGUAAUGCUGUGUCUUUAUUCUCAUCUUCAUGAUUUAAAGUGAUUUUGCUCUGGUCAUGUGAUUGGUUAGUUCAGCCUCUGUUAUGUGAUGCUGUGUGUGUUUAGAGAAAUUAAAUCAUGUUAUGUGCUUACUGUAUGUAGACAAACCUCUGGAUGUUUGUGUGU